AUACGGAGGAUGCAAGCGUUAUCCGGAUUUAUUGGGUUUAAAGGGUGCGUAGGCGGUUUGCUAAGCGGGAGGUGAAAUGCCGGCGCUCAACGUCGGAAGUGCCUCCCGAACUGGUGGACUUGAAUGACUCUGCCGUGGGAGGAAUGUGUAGUGUAGCGGUGAAAUGCUUAGAGAUUACACAGAACACCGAUUGCGAAGGCAUCUCACGAAGGGUUGAUUGACGCUGAGGCACGAAAGCGUGGGGAUCAAACAGGAUUAGAUACCCUGGUAGUCCACGCAGUAAACGAUGAUGGCUACCCGCUGGUUUAUUCGGAUCAGUGGCCAAGCGAAAGCGAUAAGCCAUCCACCUGGGGAGUACGACCGCAAGGUUGAAACUCAAAUGAAUUGACGGGG
rnacentral:rRNA from 1 species